AGUGACACAGAGCUAGCGGUAGACAAACACUUGCAUUUGUGAGGGCAGAGCUUCCCCUUCCCCAUAUCACCAUACCUAUGACAGAGAGAGCCUGACGAGCGUGAGAGCAACGUGAGUAGAUGCUCAUCUGUGCACAUGCACACACCACUGACAGAUUUCUUUUUUUUUACUCUGCUGCUAAAGUGAGCCAGGGAGGUUUCUUGUUGACCCUGUAUGCUACGGUUGUGCUUGAGGAGAGAAGAGUGUUCCUGCGUCAGCCUGCUGUUUACAGAGGAGUGUGAAGCUGCUGGAGUAUGUGGUUGCUGGUGCUGACUGACCUCUCCUCUUCAUCCACGCUGAUUAUAUAGAGAGAAGACGAAGACACAUAAGGUAAAUACUGAGGGUCUGUUCAGAAUAAUGCUGUCUGACAGCGGUCACAUCGCUGUGCUUUGUCUGAACAUUUGUGGUCAAAGUCAUGCUUUAUUUUAUGCUGAUGAGUAGUUUUACCAUGACAUCCUAUUUUACUUUAUCUUUCGAUUCACUUUAAGAUUCUUCAGAGUGGAUAUUUAGAUAGUAUAAGGUUACAGCGGUUUCUUUAGAUAAUUGAGGAAAAGGUCAAAAGCUUUUGUUGUCAUGGAUACUUUAUUUUAACCAGCACUACUGAUGGAGCUAUUUUGAAAUGUCACUAAACCUGAAACUUAAGACACAGACAGAAACUUUCCUGAUAAGUAAUCAGGUUACCUUUUUAUUCAGCAGCGAUGAGAAUAUUGAAUUUGCCAAGUCAACCUAGCGAGUACGUUUAGAAGUUUCAUUUCAUUUCCUUUCUUUUUAUAUACUGUAAUUGUCCCCAUGGGGAAAUUUGUCGUGGACUCUCUGAUGGUCCACAGUUCACAAAUAAAAGAAGAACAGGAAUAUUGAGUGAUCGCACCAGGCGAUACACAUGACACAUGCAAGACAAGUAUACAGCAGCAACAAGUAUCACUCGCCCAUAUCACAAGUUCACGUGUGGGGCACUUCCUCAAACGUGAGUAUUGGGUCACACUGUUGGUUGAAAACUGAAAACUUCAUGUGCCAGCAGAGCUGAAACUGCCCCUGACUAACAGUACGGUAGCAGAAAACUGUCGCAGGUUUUCUGUUCCCCUCAGAGACCGGUGAAGGAAGGGUGUGGUCUUGGUUUGAUGGCAGGAGGAAGGGUGAUGCUCCAGUGAUAAGCAGACUUAAUGCUCUUUUUUUCUUCCACACAUUUCCUGCUGUAAUCUUCAGCCACGCACUCAUUUCUGAUUCUUUGCACUCUUAUCUGCAUGUUAAGACAUUUGAUUACUUAUGCAAUGAUGCUUUAACAAACACUUUCACAGCCUGACAAAUAAUUCAUUAUUCAUUAUGGAAGAAGAGCUGAAGCAGUUUUGUCGCAGGUUACAAAUUUCCUUUCAUAGAAGAUAAAUACAUUAUUUUGUGUGUAUUUAUUUUUACUAAGCAGGUUAUAUGGAAGCCACUUAGAAUUAAACUUCUUUAUAUGAGCAAUCAAUCAGCUAAACUUCAUGAAUCAGAAACACUAUCCAGGUUGUGAAAUAAAAUUGUUGGCUGCUGUUUAUCCUCCAUAAACAGGAAUUUGUUUGCACCAGGGGGAGCAUACCACUCAACCACUGUACCACUAGACAAGAUCUCUGAGUUACUUAUUUACAGUGAUAACAUUGGAUUGUUUUACUUAUGUGCAAGAGAGAGCAGAUUUUUCUGCAAUCUCAAAAUACAUAUGUUCAGUCAUAUCUGCAGCAUGGAGAGUUUAACAGUCAGUGUCUCUUUAGAAAAGUUUAUUAAUAUUUGAAACUGCAGGCAUCACAUUUUUUGAGGAAGUAAAACAUCUUCUCAGAAACUCACUCACUUGCUAGAGAAGAAAAACCGUCACAGUAAAGGAGGUGUUGAGGAGGACUGUUUGAUGGACUGGGGCCUUUUUUUUUCUAUCUUCAAAGGCAGGUGGCAAAACCAGAUCAACAACCAGCUGGGAAACAAAGAAGCAAACAUUUAUUCUCAAGUAUUUGGCCAGCAUGGAUCAGCUGUCUGACGAUAAUCAAUCAAUCAAUCAAUCAAUCAAUUAAUCGAAGUUUAUUAGUAGAGCAUCUUGAAUAAAUAUAAUAUGUAAUUCAAGGUGUUUUACAGCAUUAAAAAAGGCAAGAUUAUGUUUGAAAAUGAAACAUUUUAAAAGACAGAAAUUAAUCUGGAAGUAGAGGCUCAUGCACUCUGGUGGCAACAAAAAGAUUAAAAUAUUUAUAGUAAUGAAAAAAUAUAUAUAAAGAUAAAACUUAAAGACGAA
rnacentral:lncRNA from 1 species